rnacentral:rRNA from 1 species
GAUGAACGCUGGCGGCGUGCUUAACACAUGCAAGUCGAACGGUGAAGGCGGGGCUUUCUCUGCUGGUCCAGUGGCGAACGGGUGAGUAACACGUGAGUAAUCUGCCCCUGACUCUGGGAUAAGCGCUGGAAACUGCGGCUAAUACUGGAUACGAGCUGCGCAGGCAUCUUGAGCGGCUGGAAAGUAUUUCGGUCAGGGAUGAGCUCGCGGCUUAUCAGCUUGUUGGUGGGGUAGUGGCUCACCAAGGCGUCGACGGGUAGCCGGCCUGAGAGGGUGACCGGCCACACUGGGACUGAGAGACGGCCCAGACUCCUACGGGAGGCAGCAGUGGGGAAUAUUGCACAAUGGGCGGAAGCCUGAUGCAGCAACGCCGCGUGCGGGAUGACGGCCUUCGGGUUGUAAACCGCUUUCAGCUGGGACGAAGCGUGAGUGACGGUACCUGCAGAAGAAGCACCGGCUAACUACGUG